rnacentral:rRNA from 1 species
CCUACGGGUGGCAGCAGUGAGGAAUAUUGGUCAAUGGUCGCGAGCCUGAACCAGCCAAGUAGCGUGAAGGAUGACUGCCCUACGGGUUGUAAACUUCUUUUAUAAAGGAAUAAAGUGUGGCACGCGUGCCUUUUUGUAUGUACCUUAUGAAUAAGGAUCGGCUAACUCCGUGCCAGCAGCCGCGGUAAUACGGAGGAUCCGAGCGUUAUCCGGAUUUAUUGGGUUUAAAGGGAGCGUAGAUGGGUUGUUAAGUCAGUUGUGAAAGUUUGCGGCUCAACCGUAAAAUUGCAAUUGAUACUGGCAGCCUUGAGUACAGGUGAGGUAGGCGGAAUGCGUGGUGUAGCGGUGAAAUGCUUAGAUAUCACGAAGAACUCCGAUUGCGAAGGCAGCUUACUAAACUGCCACUGACAUUGAUGCUCGAAAGUGUGGGUAUCAAACAGGAUUAGAUACCCCUGUAGUC